UUUUAGAAUUCCAGUAUAUAAAAGAAAUUCUCUUUCCGUAAUUUUUAACAAUCUGUUGACUAGCUCAAUUCCUUGUAGUUUAAUGUUUGGAGAUAAAUCAUUCAAUAUUCGGAGUACAGAUGGAAUGAUUCUGUGCCAACAUACUUCAAUGCUAGAAGAACUUUGCUGAUCAAUUAUCCAAAAAAUAAGGUGAGAAAUGAGAUAAUUUUUUGUUUUCCACUUUGGCUCAAGAAGUGCUUUACUUUGAUCACUGUGAAAUUUGUCUGGUGGUAAUUCAAAUGCAACCGGUCUACCUUGAUCUGUCAACCGUUCUUCUCUAUGAAAAAGAUUUAUUUGAUACUUUUCUAGAAGAUAUAAUAAGAAUUUUUGUCUAGGAACAGCGCUGAGGAUUGAAGUUGAGAGGAAUUCUGACAAAUUGCGUACAAGUCCAUUCUCGAUUCCACUUAAUGAUAUUAAAAUAGCUAGGAUUUCCCAAUUGAUCUCUUUAACAACAUUUUCUAUAAACUGUUCUUGAAAAAUGCUUAAUAUCCGGUGAGCGCGCACAACAUACGCUUCUUUAAUCACUACAUCAAUCGAUUCAGGGUCUGGAUGAGUUAAUAAUUUAAUAUAAAAAAUUGUCGCCGUACCCAGUAAAAACCAACUUUCAGUAGGGCUAAUGAACUCUAAUAAUGGCCUCAAAUCUUGUUCAUGAACCAACGAGUCCACCUCUACCACCAAUUUGUCCAAAAAGUCUAUUUGCUAUAUUUGGUUAAAAUUUGAAAAUAGUGAAUUAAAAACGGUACUUUUUCAAGAGCUUCUUUUUCAUUUUUUGAUUGUAGAGUAUGCAAUCGCCUAGCUAGCUCUUUGUA